GGGGAUUUAGCUUAGUAAUGUAAGUGCUUGCUUGGCAAGCAUGAGGUUGUGAGUUCAAUCCCCU
rfam:Cavia porcellus supercont2_80 genomic scaffold, whole genome shotgun sequence.